rnacentral:tRNA from 1 species
UGUGGCUCAGUGGUAGAGCGCUCACUUCACAUUUGUGAGACCCUGAGUUCGAUCCUCAGCA